GACGUAGGGCGCGAGCGUUGUCCGGAUUUAUUGGGCGUAAAGAGCUCGUAGGCGGCUUGUUACGUCGACUGUGAAAACCCGCGGCUCAACCGUGUGGCUUGCAGUCGAUACGGGCAGGCUAGAGUUCGGUAGGGGAGACUGGAAUUCCUGGUGUAGCGGUGAAAUGCGCAGAUAUCAGGAGGAACACCAGUGGCGAAGGCGGCUCACUGGCCCGGUACUGACGCUGAGGUGCGAAAGCGUGGGGAGCAAACAGG
rnacentral:rRNA from 1 species